UCAUGACGCCGGCCGGUGAACGCUCCGUGCUAUCCGACUAACAGCAAGCUGGCACCUCUCCCGUUGGUUUCCUGCUGAUUACACUAUGAUAAAUAAGAAACAAUGAACUACGAUAAACGCUCUCGCUCCUUUAAAUAACCCGUUCGGAUGUUGUACUUGCCACCUGAAGGAGCCUGGUUUGAUCAAUCCCAAUGGAAAGAAGCACCUGCGGCAGUGCGGCACGCUCGCUGUACUGGACAUGGAACUGGAUUUUCUCACAUCUCUUGCUCUGUGUCAUAAUGACUGGGUUUGGCUAUGCUCUCUUCUCGCUGCUGCCAUGGGGAAGGAGGUACAGGAGCCUUAGGUCCCACGCCACCAAUUUCAAGGCGGCCACAAAGCAAGAAACCUGAAAGAACCCAAUUAAAGAAAAAAGAACAAAAGACUAACACCCGAUGCGCAAGAAGAAGGGAAAAAAAAUACAAGUCAUGCAAACAAUUGAAGUGAACAACAUUCCAAACCAAAACUGAGUCCUCAGAUCCCAACCCUGGAGCAGCCUGGAUUAGGCCCAAAACCUCUCUUAUAGAACAUAGAAUAGUACAGCACAUUACAGGCCCUUCGGCCCACAAUGUUGUGCCGACCCUCCAACCCUGCCUCCCAUAUAACCCCCCACCUUAAAUUCCUCCAUAUACCUGUCUAGUAGUCUCUUAAACUUCACUAGUGUAUCUGCCUCCACCACUGACUCAGGCAGUGCAUUCCACGCACCAACCACUCUCUGAGUAUAAAACCUUCCUCUAAUAUCCCCCUUGAACUUCCCAUCUCUUACCUUAAAGCCAUGUCCUCUUGUAUUGAGCAGUGGUGCCCUGGGGAAGAGGCGCUGGCUAUCCACUCUAUCUAUUCCUCUUAUUAUCUUAUACACUUCUAUCAUGUCUCUUCUCAUCCUCCUUCCCUCCAAAGAGUAAAGCCCUAGCUCCCUUAAUUUUUGAUCAUAAUGCAUACUCUCUAAACCAGGCAGCAUCCUGGUAAAUCUCCUCUGUACCCUUUCCAAUGCUUCCACAUCCUUCCUAUAGUGAGGCGACCAGAACUGGACACAGUACUCCAAGUGUGGCCUAACCAGAGUUUUAUAGAGCUGCAUCAUUACCUCGCGACUCUUACACUCUAUCCCUCAAUUUAUGAAAGCUAACACCCCAUAAGCUUUCUUAUUCAUUAUAUUAGCAACACGGAGCACUGCAGCUGGGACAGUUUUCUUAGCCUCAGCGCCAUGGAGAGAGGAGUGCAGACAUCCCACCUCUCCCGGAAGUUCCGGGAGUCUCCCGCAUAUCGAUAGUGGCUCCCUGAAGCCCGGAAAUUAUAUACAAUAUCCCGGAAAUAGAUUUUUUUGAGAGGGAGAGUGAGCAUCCUGAUUGGUCUCUCUUCGUGCUAAGAGUGGUCCCCAACCACCAGGCCGUGAGGAAACAAUAUGAUUUGGUGAUUUAGUUAGUUAGUUAGUUAGUUAGUUAGUAUUUGCACAGUUGGCCUUCUUCUUCUCAUUGGUUAUUUACCAGUCUUUGUUGGUGUAUAGUUUUUCAUUGAUUAUGUUGUAUUUCUUUGUUCUACUGUGAUUGUCUGCAAGAAAAUGAAUCUCAGGAUAGAAUAUAUGUUUUUUGCUAAUAAGUUUACUUUGAACUUCAAAAUCUGUCCAUUGUUGUGAAGUAGCGAAUGUCAUGGGUGGGGCAACAGAGGCAGUUCCUUUGGUUUAGCAAUGAAUUUGCUACUGCUUGGUCAUUUGAUCGCUGGUCGGAUCGCACUGCUACUGGACAGGGGAGACUGCCUUUUGAUCGCUGGUGGGAUCGCUCUGCUACCGGAGAUGGGAGACUGCGUUUUGAUCACUGGUGGGAUCGCUCUGCUACCAGAGAGGGGAGAGGUCACCCCUGUGCCUGGAGAAUGUUACCCAGGUUUUCUGCGUUUUGGAUAUGAAUAUUUGAAUAUGGACCUGGACUUGGA